rnacentral:rRNA from 1 species
UACGUAGGGUGCAAGCGUUGUCCGGAAUCAUUGGGCGUAAAGAGCGUGUAGGCGGCCCGGUCAGUCCGCCGUGAAAGUCCAGGGCUCAACCCUGGGAUGCCGGUGGAUACUGUCGGGCUCGAGUCCGGAAGAGGCGAGUGGAAUUCCUGGUGUAGCGGUGAAAUGCGCAGAUAUCAGGAGGAACACCAAUGGCGAAGGCAGCUCGCUGGGACGUGACUGACGCUGAGACGCGAAAGCGUGGGGAGCAAACAGG